rnacentral:rRNA from 1 species
UAGUCGUUGGGGAACNUGAUUCNUUAGUGACGCAGNUAACGCAAUAAGUAGACCGCCUGGGGAGUACGGCCGCAAGGUUAAAACUCAAAUGAAUUGNCGGGGGCCCGCACCAGCGGUGGAGCAUGUGGUUUANUUNGAUGCAACGCGAAGAACCUUACCUGGUCUUGACAUAUCUAGAAUCCUGCAGAGAUGCGGGAGUGCCUUCGGGAAUUAGAAUACAGGUGCUGCAUGGCUGUCGUCAGCUNGUGUCGUGAGAUGUUGGGUUAAGUCCCGCAACGAGCGCAACCCUUGUCCUUAGUUACCAGCGGGUUAAGCCGGGAACUCUAAGGAUACUGCCAGUGACAAACUGGAGGAAGGCGGGGACGACGUCAAGUCAUCAUGGCCCUUACGACCAGGGCUACACACGUGCUACAAUGGUAGGUACAGAGGGCAGCUACACAGCGAUGUGAUGCGAAUCUCAAAAAGCCUAUCGUAGUCCAGAUUGGAGUCUGCAACUCGACUCCAUGAAGUAGGAAUCGCUAGUAAUCGCGGAUCAGAAUGCCGCGGUGAAUACGUUCCCGGGCCUUGUACACACCGCCCGUCACACCAUGGGAGUUGAUUGCACCAGAAGUGGUUAGCCGAACCUUUUAGGACGGCG